GAGGAGGUGAUUUGUAUUUUACCUAUACCAAUGAUGUGACCCUGAUUAUUGUCUCCAAACGUCACUGCACCUCCCUUUUUAGGCUCUAGGGUGAAGAAUUGCUCCUUGUCACCCGUCAUGUGUCUUGAGCAGCCACUAUCCAAGUACCAACAGUUUUUGUCGACUUUGGCUGCAAGACACUCCUACAUAAGGAAAUCAUACAAUUUUAGGUACCCAAGUUUUCUUGGGUCC
rnacentral:lncRNA from 1 species